AUUGAACGCUAGCGGGAUGCUUUACACAUGCAAGUCGAACGGCAGCGCGGACUUCGGUCUGGCGGCGAGUGGCGAACGGGUGAAUAAUGUAUCGGAACGUGCCCAGUAGCGGGGGAUAACUACGCGAAAGCGUAGCUAAUACCGCAUACGCCCUACGGGGGAAAGCAGGGGAUCGUAAGACCUUGCACUAUUGGAGCGGCCGAUAUCGGAUUAGCUAGUUGGUGAGGUAACGGCUCACCAAGGCGACGAUCCGUAGCUGGUUUGAGAGGACGACCAGCCACACUGGGACUGAGACACGGCCCAGACUCCUACGGGAGGCAGCAGUGGGGAAUUUUGGACAAUGGGGGCAACCCUGAUCCAGCCAUCCCGCGUGUGCGAUGAAGGCCUUCGGGUUGUAAAGCACUUUUGGCAGGAAAGAAACGUCGCGGGCUAAUACCCCGUGGAACUGACGGUACCUGCAGAAUAAGCACCGGCUAACUACGUG
rnacentral:rRNA from 1 species